AACGCACCUUGCGCUCCUUGGUAUUCCUCGGAGCAUGCCUGUUUGAGUAUCAUGAAAUUCUCAAAAUAAAUCUUUUGUUCGUUCGAUUGAUUUUAUUUUGGACUUGGAGGUCUUGCAGAUUCACGUCUGCUCCUCUUAAAUCUAUUAGCUGGAUCUCCGUGAACUCGGUUCCACUCGGCGUGAUAAGUAUCACUCGCUGAGGACACUGUAAAAAGGUGGCCGGGGUUGUGGAAUGAACCGCUUCCAAUAGUCCAUUGACUUGGACAAAAUAUAUUAUUUAUGAUCUGAUCUCAAAUCAGGUAGGACUACCCGCUGAACUUAA
rnacentral:misc_RNA from 1 species